UCUUAUGGAUGAGCAGAGAAAGUGGUUUCUUGAGAUAGAAUUUAUUCGUGGUGAAGAUUCUGUGAA
rnacentral:pre_miRNA from 1 species